ACCUGCGGAAGGAUCAUUAUUGAAAUAAACCUGAUGAGUUGCUGCUGGCUCUCCUUGGGAAAAGCAUGUGCACACUUGUCAUCUUUAUAUUUCCACCUUGUGCAUCUUUUGUAGGCCUGGAUAUCUUUCUGAGUUUGCUAGUGACUCAGGUUUGAGGAUCGAUUUUAAAUAAUCUUUCUUUACAUUUGCAGGCCUAUGUUUCUUUCAUAUAUAUACCCCAUUGUGUGUUCUAGAAUGUAAUAAAAUGGGCCUUAUGUGCCUAUAAACAUUUAAUACAACUUUCAGCAACGGAUCUCUUGGCUCUCGCAUCGAUGAAGAACGCAGCGAAAUGCGUUAAGUAAUGUGAAUUGCAGAAUUCAGUGAAUCAUCGAAUCUUUGAACGCACCUUGCGCUCCUAGGUAUUCCUUGGAGCAUGCCUGUUUGAGUGUCAUUUUAAUAUAUCAACCUCUUCAGCCUUUGGCUUGUUGAGUGUUGGAUGUGGGUUUGCUGGUUUCUCUCUUGAGCUCAGCUCCCCUGAAAUGCAUUAGCUGAACAAUUUGUGGACCUUGUUCAUUGGUGUGAUAAUUAUCUACGCUAUUGACGAUAAAGCAAAGCUCAGCUUCUAAAUAGUCCAUCGACUUGGGCAGUAUUUAUUAUUGAAUGUGACCUCAAAUCAGGUAGGACUACCCGCUGAACUUAAGCAUAUCAAUAAGCGGAGGAAAAGAAACUAACAAGGAUUCCCCUAGUAACUGCGAGUGAAGCGGGAAAAGCUCAAAUUUAAAAUCUGGCAGUCUCUGGCUGUCCGAGUUGUAAUCUAGAGAAGCGUUAUCCGCGUUGGACCGUGUACAAGUCUCCUGGAAUGGAGCAUCAUAGAGGGUGAGAAUCCCGUCUUUGACACGGACUGCCAGGGCUUUGUGAUGCGCUCUCAAAGAGUCGAGUUGUUUGGGAAUGCAGCUCAAAAUGGGUGGUAAAUUCCAUCUAAAGCUAAAUAUUGGCGAGAGACCGAUAGCGAACAAGUACCGUGAGGGAAAGAUGAAAAGAACUUUGGAAAGAGAGUUAAACAGUACGUGAAAUUGCUGAAAGGGAAACGCUUGAAGUCAGUCGCGUUGGCCAGGGAUCAACUUUGCUUUUGCUUGGUGUACUUUCCGGUUGACGGGUCAGCAUCAAUUUUGACCAUUGGAAAAAGGUCAAGGGAAUGUGGCAUUUUCGGAUGUGUUAUAGCCCUUGGUUGCAUACAGUGGUUGGGAUUGAGGAACUCAGCACGCCGCAAGGCUGGGUGUUUUAAACCACGUACGUGCU
rnacentral:rRNA from 1 species